AGAACGAACGCUGGCGGCAGGCUUAACACAUGCAAGUCGAACGGGCGUAGCAAUACGUCAGUGGCAGACGGGUGAGUAACACGUGGGAACCUUCCUAGGGGUACGGAACAACUCAGGGAAACUUGAGCUAAUACCGUAUACGUCCGUGAGGAGAAAGAUUUAUCGCCCCUAGACGGGCCCGCGUCGGAUUAGGUAGUUGGUGGGGUAACGGCCUACCAAGCCUACGAUCCGUAGCUGAUCUGAGAGGAUGAUCAGCCACACUGGGACUGAGACACGGCCCAGACUCCUACGGGAGGCAGCAGUGGGGAAUCUUGGACAAUGGGCGCAAGCCUGAUCCAGCCAUGCCGCGUGAGUGAAGAAGGCCUUAAGGGUUGUAAAGCUCUUUUACCGAGGUACGAUAAUGACGGUACCGUGAGAAUAAGCCCCGGACAACUUCGUGCCAGCAGCCGC
rnacentral:rRNA from 1 species